rnacentral:lncRNA from 1 species
CCCAGCGACCUCAAGCUUUUUGCAAAUCUAACUGAUCAAUCCAAAGACAAGAAACCACAAACCAACAACCAUGAGGAAGAGCCUCCUAUUUUUCAUCGUUGUUGUCGCUGCCAUUUGCACCAUCGCCGUGCCUACCAAGGCGGGAGAUGGUGGAUGGAAACCGAUCCAUGAAGUGAACAGCCCACAGGAUCGGGGAGUCGGCUGUGGUGGAGCACGUGAAGCAGGCACAUGACGGUCUCAAGUUCCAUCAGGUGGUGAGCGGCGAGGGGCAAGACUCGCAAGGUUAUCACUAUCGUCUCAAUGGCCUGUUUGGAUACUCUAGCUUAGCUAGUGGUUAGAGUUAGUUUCUAACUCAUGACUAACUCUAAACUAACUCUAACCAAAUAGAUGUUUGGAUGGAAGGGUUAGAUUGACAAUAGAUGCACUUUAUGAAAAGAGAAAAGUGAUUUUUUAAUGAACCCCAUGAAAACUAGCUUCAAUUAGCAUCUCUUGCCUAAUGGAAGAGAGAGAGAAAAAUAUUUUUUAAUGAACCCCAUGAGAACUAGCUCCAAUUAGCACCUCUUGGGUGAGCUAGUUUUUUUAGGUGGGCUAGAUGCAACUAGCUCCAAUCUAACCCUUGUGUUUGGAGAUUUUAGGGCUAGUUGAACCCAAACUAGCUCAAACUAACUCUAGCACAUGGAUUCAAACAGGGCCAAUAUCCACGCGUUGGACGCUGCUGGUAAGGAGAGUGCAUACAAGGCGCAGGUGUACGAUGAGGCUCCCAGCAAGGCACGUCACCUCGUCUCCUUCGCCUUGGAUGUGUAGGGCGAUGUAGCCAAGCCAGCCAAGAGGAUUAUUUUUCUAAUAAAAACAAGGAUUUUUGUGUGCCUGUAACUUGGAGAUUGUAUACUAAAAAUAUUAACGAUGGAUUAUGUAUCACCAGUAGUCAACCCGUGCACAUGCACGGGCUACCCUACCAAAUGAAUGUUGAUUAAAAUGAC